AGGGAAAUUGCUCAGUGGUAGAGCUCAUGCCCAAUAUGUACGAGGUCCUGGGUUCAAUCCCCAGUACCUCCA
rfam:Camelus ferus unplaced genomic scaffold scaffold1629, whole genome shotgun sequence.